rnacentral:rRNA from 1 species
AUUGAACGCUGGCGGCAGGCCUAACACAUGCAAGUCGAGCGGAUGACGGGAGCUUGCUCCUUGAUUCAGCGGCGGACGGGUGAGUAAUGCCUAGGAAUCUGCCUGGUAGUGGGGGACAACGUUUCGAAAGGAACGCUAAUACCGCAUACGUCCUACGGGAGAAAGCAGGGGACCUUCGGGCCUUGCGCUAUCAGAUGAGCCUAGGUCGGAUUAGCUAGUAGGUGAGGUAAUGGCCCACCUAGGCGACGAUCCGUAACUGGUCUGAGAGGAUGAUCAGUCACACUGGAACUGAGACACGGUCCAGACUCCUACGGGAGGCAGCAGUGGGGAAUAUUGGACAAUGGGCGAAAGCCUGAUCCAGCCAUGCCGCGUGUGUGAAGAAGGUCUUCGGAUUGUAAAGCACUUUAAGUUGGGAGGAAGGGUUGUACGUUAAUACCGUGCAAUUUUGACGUUACCGACAGAAUAAGCACCGGCUAACUCUGUGCCAGCAGCCGCGGUAACAC